rnacentral:rRNA from 1 species
UCUUGGUCAUUUAGAGGAAGUAAAAGUCGUAACAAGGUUUCCGUAGGUGAACCUGCGGAAGGAUCAUUAAAGAAAUUUAAUAAUUUUGAAAAUGGAUUUUUUUGUUUUGGCAAGAGCAUGAGAGCUUUUACUGGGCAAGAAGACAAGAGAUGGAGAGUCCAGCCGGGCCUGCGUUUAAGUGCGCGGUCUUGCUAGGCUUGUAAGUUUCUUUCUUGCUAUUCCAAACGGUGAGAGAUUUCUGUGCUUUUGUUAUAGGACAAUUAAAACCGUUUCAAUACAACACACUGUGGAGUUUUCAUAUCUUUGCAACUUUUUCUUUGGGCAUUCGAGCAAUCGGGGCCCAGAGGUAACAAACACAAACAAUUUUAUCUAUUCAUUAAAUUUUUGUCAAAAACAAGAAUUUUCGUAACUGGAAAUUUUAAAAUAUUAAAAACUUUCAACAACGGAUCUCUUGGUUCUCGCAUCGAUGAAGAACGCAGCGAAAUGCGAUACGUAAUGUGAAUUGCAGAAUUCCGUGAAUCAUCGAAUCUUUGAACGCACAUUGCGCCCCUUGGUAUUCCAGGGGGCAUGCCUGUUUGAGCGUCAUUUCCUUCUCAAACAUUCUGUUUGGUAGUGAGUGAUACUCUUUGGAGUUAACUUGAAAUUGCUGGCCUUUUCAUUGGAUGUUUUUUUUCCAAAGAGAGGUUUCUCUGCGUGCUUGAGGUAUAAUGCAAGUACGGUCGUUUUAGGUUUUACCAACUGCGGCUAAUCUUUUUUUAUACUGAGCGUAUUGGAACGUUAUCGAUAAGAAGAGAGCGUCUAGGCGAACAAUGUUCUUAAAGUUUGACCUCAAAUCAGGUAGGAGUACCCGCUGAACUUAAGCAUAUCAAUAAGCGGAG